ensembl:lncRNA
CAUUAAUGGGUUUUCAUAGCAACAGAUCUCCCAAACUGCCCCAGUCCCUCUCCAAACAGUGCUGUCAAGCCUCUCAAGCAGUACACAUUCCUCGGUUUGAUAUUAGAGCCAAUAUCCUUAUAGCACAGGUGUCUAAGAAUGCACACGGACUUUGAAUGGCACUAAAGACUUAGGAGCAGACCCAAGAACACGAGAGACAGAUAUGGUUGAGGGGCAACAUUUUCCAGCUGCUUUUCAGGUACUGCCAGCCAGCUGCAUCUUGUCUUGUCCUGGCAUUGCUGCCACCCAGCUUGUUUCCUGUUAGAGCUAACUUUCUUUGGGAUAUAGAGCAUAUUAACUACAGAGAUCUUAAAACACAGCUUCCACCCAUAGCAUGUGGGAACAAAACCAAACCUCAGCUUCUGUUUUUGCACAGUGACGACUCUGACUCCCUUCAUCUGAAAAAUCCCUUCAGGAAAAUGAAGCAUUAAUCCUGUACUUCUAUGGCAGACUCUAACUCUCUUCCCUCAUAGCAGGAAGCCUUGUUAGGAUCAAUCUGAGUCACAGCUGCUCUGAAUUCCAAAGGGUGAGAUCUGUUGGGCUGUUGUAAAUUACUCUCUUCACAGAGGGCAAGAGGCUGUAAGUGGCACAGGUGUGCCACCACUUAACCACCCUCACCACAGGCUGCGGCUCUUGGGAGAGCUGGCUAGCAAUGUAGUCAAGGGAAAAAAUAAAAGGAGGAAGACUUCUCUUUGCUAAGGGCACAUCAGCAAGCCUUGCAAGUGCCAGAGUUUUUGUAUCUCGCCAAGGAGUACAGCAGGCAAGCAUUCCCUUUGAAUGAAAUGUCUACUGCCUGAGCAAUCUGAGUGCAAACCGGAGCCUAAGUCCUUCUCCUUUGCUCCCUCAUACUGAAGGAGGUGCUGCUGGGAGCUGGUGCUGCACAAGCAAGUUCUGAGCAUGUUUGCUGUUCUUCCUGUCAAAGGCUUUUGUCCUGCUGUGGGAGGAGGCUAAACACUGCGGGCAGUACUGGCAGUUGCAGGUGCGAUUCUUCGCUAAACAACAGAUACAGCGUGGCAAGUGUUGAUAGAUAUUAACAUCAGUGCAGGUGUAGAACUUACACCAUAUGCAGAACCAGCACUUUCUUGCAGUCCCUGGGCUGAUGGGGAAACCCCUCUGUCUCAAAGCAAGCCACAUUAUCCCUAGCUUGCUCUUACAGAUUUCCGUAACCACCAGGAAUGCUGGAUGCCAGGGAGGAUGCAGAACCCAAGGAAAUCAAAAGGAGCCAUGAGUGUACUCUACAGGGCAAUGGCAGUAUUUGCCAGCUAUGGCUGCAAUACGUAUACACGGAAAGGAGAAAGUACAUGAAGUUCUACUUAAGGUUUUCCUAUGAGCUUCUACGGUUUUCUCUGGGAGCAUCACGAAGAGUUAGGCAACUCCAGAUUGAAAGACCCUGGCCUCAAGGGCUGAAGAAUAGAGCUACAUUGUAACAUCCUGAUACUUGCUGACAAUUUUCUCCCUUAAUAAAACGUUGCCGCUGUCCUCUCCAUUUAUAGCAUCAAAGAGAACCCUUCUAACCUCCUAAAUCCUGUUUUAGUGUCGUAGGCUACAGAUUAUUAGCCAAAGCACAACUGCAUUUGAUGUAGUUAUAUCAGGAAGAAACAUAAGUAACAUUUAUAAUGCAGAAAUACUUAAAAAAAUUUAUUAAAAUUUAUUAAAAUAUGUUUAAAAUUAAAAUUUAAAGCAUUUAAACUUCUGUGUGAGCUCCGAGGCAGCUCUGUCUUUGUGUAUUACUGAAUACGAAAUGCUGAGAGGAAUUGAUGUGGCGGUCUCCUUUUUCUCUAGUUACCCUCCUGCAGCACAGCGCAGCCCGCUGCCCCUACAGGACAGCCUGCUUCAUGACGUUGUCCCUCAAGAUCUCAUUCCACUGUUAAUUUUUUUGUUGUUGUUGUUAGAAUAAAACACCUUGAAGUCCUGCUCUGACUUACUGCCUUCCUGACUUUGCCCUGCAACUCCGAGUAACACCCUGCGUGUGUACUUCACGUCAAAGUAAACUCGAGUUAAAAACACGCUAUUUGCGAAGUCAUUUAAGGACGGAUGAGAUCGGUGUUGCCCUCGCACUACUUACUGCAAUGUUUCUGACUGCAAAUUGCCCCAGAGCAGCUCUCUGGGCAGCAUGCUUUCUGCCACCUCAGGCGCUGCCGUCACCCCGCAGGCGUAAAGCUGCCGUACGCGCCCGUGAGACACCGUGAGAAAGCUCUCCUUUCUGCCGCUCUCUCAGGGGCUUUGUCUGGGCUUGGAGGCGGCCCGCGAGGAGGCAGCCGGGCUGCCGGGACAAGCGUCUGACGGUGCGCUGACGCACGCCAGCGGAGAAGGGACAAAGGGAACGAGCCCGCCACCUUUGUACACCGCAGGGGAGGCGCUGCCCAGACCGCAGUAGCCGUCCUGCCCGCAAGAUGGUGGCCCGCGGGCCCGGCCCGCCUAGGCCAAGAUGGCGCCCGACACCUC